rfam:Trichobilharzia regenti genome assembly, scaffold: TRE_scaffold0001416
GUACUGACGAAGAGUCCCAAACUAGUGUGACGAAACGGCCGUCCAGUAC